rnacentral:rRNA from 1 species
UACGUAGGGUGCGAGCGUUGUCCGGAAUUAUUGGGCGUAAAGAGCUCGUAGGCGGCUCGUCGCGUCAGCUGUGAAAACCCGCGGCUUAACCGUGGGCUUGCAGCUGAUACGGGCGGGCUAGAGUUCGGUAGGGGAGACUGGAAUUCCUGGUGUAGCGGUGAAAUGCGCAGAUAUCAGGAGGAACACCGGUGGCGAAGGCGGGUCUCUGGGCCGAUACUGACGCUGAGGAGCGAAAGCGUGGGGAGCGAACAGG